ACCAAGUACAGCGCAGUAUUUUUCUUCACAGAUUUCGCAUGACGGACUAGGUAUUUCAGUUCGAACCUUCAAACUGGCAAGAAUGGACUUUCUUUGGCUGGCUGUUCCUUAUUUUUACAUUGCUGGGAGAUUGUUCUUCAAUAGUCCCGAAUUAACGAGUCGUUUUCACAUCGUCAAUGGACUCAAGGGGACUAUAUUGUUUAUACUCUCCAAAAUCUACAUAGCUUACAAAUCUCGCAGAGGUCCACCCCGUUGGGAUUAUCCGAUGACGUGUUCAUUAUGUUGUGUGGAUGGUCAUCUUUCCUCGUUUUGUCCUGGCAUUUUUUUGUGGAAAAGGAUUCGUAAUGUUGGCAUUGUUAUGGUAGUGAUUCUUUCAUUGUCUUAUCUGAUGGACAAUGCAGAGCAUAAACAUGAAGAGUCAUUGAAAGGAUUACCUUAGCCGAAAGAUAUUAAACAAAAUUGUGACAAAUAAUCAAUUUUUAAAAAAAGAUUUCAGUGUGCCUCAAAGAUGUGAAUAAAUAUAUUGAGUGAAA